GUUGAAAAGAACUUUGAAGAGAGAGUUCAAGAGUACGUGAAACCGCCUAGAGGCAAACGGGUGGAUCCGCAUAAGUCGGCUCGGGGAAUUCAACUUGCCGUGUCUGGGCGACGGACGGUCGAGGCAGGGAUCCUGAAAGGGACCCGCUCGGUCGUUUCGGAGUGCCAUCGGCGAGUGCACUUUCCCCGAGUAGAGCGCCA
rnacentral:rRNA from 1 species